AAGGACAAUAAAGUAAGUGAGAAGUGAAGGAAGAGAAAGACGCAGAAAUCAAAACACUUGGGCGGCUUUUCUGUGAUGUGCGACGGCAGUUGAGUGCUUUCCGCUGACAAUAUUCUCUCUACCGUGUCUUCUUCACUGUUCCCUUCGGGUCCCGUGUUCCGUGCAUCCAUUAGUAUCAUAUCUCUUUUUGAUUUUAUACCUUUUUUUUUUUCUCAAAAAUGGAAUUCUAUCCCUUCAAUGGUUUUCUCUUCACUCGUUGGGUAUUGAGCUCUUCUCUUGCCCUUGUGAUUUCUGUCCUUUAUUCUUUUCUUUUCUCAUUUUUUCAGAAAAGAAAUGACAGUGUUUUGCCAAAAACCAAUCUAUUAAUAAUUGCAACUUUGAAAAAUGAGAUUAUUUUUUUAUCAAAGUAGAAAUGGAGCAAUUUAUUGCUCACAUUUAUGUCUUUUUUUCAUUUUUUUUGUCCAACAUAUCACGGCUUUCUCUGAGUACCCUACGGAGAUUGAGUGACCGCUCUUUCCAACAUGGUUGGUUAUUGGUUUUAUUGAGGAAACCUUUAUCCCUGUUCUCCCCAACCCAUUUCUAAGUUUUCUAUUUUCUAGGGUUUCACAUUGGUCGCAGAUGGUUUGAUUUUCUCAGGUUUGCUUGGUUUAAGGUUUGUUUAUUGAAAAACAUUCCAACGUUCGUGCUUUUGGAGAAAUUAAAGGGAGAGUUGAGCGUUUAUCCGACGGUUUUGCGUCAGUUUUCUAUUGCUUAAAGAUGCCAUUUUUAUAAAUCGUAAGUAUAAAUUUACUAAAGCUGCUGUUUUUAUUUAGAUUUCUGGUGUUUAUAGUGAUUUGCAGUGUACAACUGAUUCGUUGUAUGCUUUUGAGCACUGAUUUUUGUAGAAAUAGUUUGGAGAACACCAAUUGAUUUCUUCAAAGCAGCUUAUUUGUGGAGGGACAGUAGAUUUGGAGCUGAUAAUUCCAGACCUUGGUUUUUAGAUAAUUGAUUUUAUAGUUUAGGGCAUUUCCUCUUGCAGGUAUUUUGUUGAGAUCUUAUCAGAUUUUUUAAUAUCUGAUUCUGCUUUGACCAUUUUAACUUCAGGAUUGAGAUUUUUUCCCUUUUAAGAUUUGGGGAAAAGGGAUGAAAAAGAGCAAGUCUUCCCAGAUCCAUAGUAUUGUUCUAUAUUGACGAAAUUUGCUUUAUGUUAUAUGUUAGAUUUCGAGUAAAGAAUCAAUGUUGUGAGGCAUUUGCAAAUAAACUCUGGGACAUGGAUUUCUUCAAUGUAAAGAAGUUUAGAAAAGCCCACAAACCAGACCCAGAGAAGAAGGAUUUAGAGGAUAGGCCUGUGGCACAGCCAGAGGAACCAAAGAAUGAGAAUACCGGCAGUGGCGGUGAUGUUGUGAUUAACAAGUGUGCUAAUGCAGAUGCUUUAACUGAAUCUGAGGAUGAUGACGAUGAUUUUAUAACAAAUGAGGUGAAGAGGAGGUUGAAAGAACUGAGAAGAAACAGUUUUAUGGCAUUAAUACCUGAAGAAGAGCCAUGCCCUGAAGAGGAGGAAGAUGAGGAGGAGGGUGAAGGAGAGACCAACUUUAGUGAAUGGAGGGAUGUUGAAGCAGAAGGAAGGAAAUGGUGGAGUGGGUUUGAUGCUGUGUAUGACCAGUACUGCGAACGGAUGUUGUUCUUUGAUCGGAUGAUUGUGCAGCAGCUCAAAGAAAACGGUAAGUUUUGUUAUGUUUGAUCAAGUGAUUUUUUUUUUUUUUGAGAGAUUAUGUUUUGAUCAAGUUGCUUCUUGUGUUAUACUAUUUUUUCAGCUAGUUUGGUUAGAUAAUUGGUGCGUUUGGGGCAUUUUAUUUUUGACGGCAACUCUUCUUAUUUCUUUGUUUUCCUUGGUCUAACUUGUUAGGGGUUUUCUUAUGCCUACUUGCCAAGGUCAAUUUGCGCUCUAGGUAAUCAGAGCUGACUAAAUAUUGCCGAGUACCAUGUUAUUCUGAGUGGAUUUAGAGCUUACCUAUGUGAAAUUAAUCUGAAAACUAAUCAAUUAGCCUUUUGGAAAUGCAUCUUGGGUGAUUGGAUUUGUGCAAAUUGUCAAUGAAAUCACAUUUUGGAUCACUGGAGGAUCGAGUUCUGGAAUAAAAAAGUUGGUGUGCUCAUUUCUUCAAUUGCAACUUGGGUGCUCUUCAUCCAUCUCAAGUGACAUUUUAUUAGGGAACUUUCUCUUUAUUGUUCAAAAAGAUACCAUGACAAAGUUCAAACGACAGUGAAGAGGGUUGCCUAGUGGAGAGGUUGUUUUAUUGAGAUUUUGAGGUCUUGCCCAUGCUGGCGCCUUUGGAAAAUAUACAUGGAUUAUGUGCUGUUCAAUGUUACACCAAGUGAAUUUUAUUAUCUUCACUGAACAAAGUAAUUAUUAUUAAAUUUACUUAUAUAUCUUCCCUCUGGAAUCUACGUAACAUUGCUGAAAUGGUGCAAUCUGUUCUUCUUGGUUGUAGUUUUUCCAUUGUUAACUGGGUUUUAAUUGGUAAAACUUUUCUGACUUAUCUGGAUUUUAUCAUUGCCAUGGUACUAAAUGUUGAUCUUUCUUCCAGUUAGUUCUUUAAAUAGCAACACAGGCUAAAGUCAUCUUUUCAUUAAGAUCAUCUGACCUAUAUUAUUUGUUAACCACUGAGAUGUGCCAUUUUGCCAAGUGGCUGCCAAUCGAGGAUACGCUUUCAUAUAUUACAUGAUUCAUUAUAUUUAAAGAGGCAACUUUUCCUUAUUCUUUGUAGAAAAACAUUUCUUUCAUUGUGCAUUCUGAAAAAAAAAAUUCUUGUGGUUUUGAUAGGUUUAAAACCUGUAUAUAUAGCAUUUUUUUGAAAAAGAAAAUCUCUAUGGAUAAAUGAAAUUCAAGUCCUAGUUUUGUAGUUUGGGCUGGCAAAUGAGUUAUACACUAACAGCACUUUUUAUUUCCUCUAUAUGAGUUAUGAAUGUGUGACUCAGGACAAGGGAAGCAGAUGCUGCAAAGAAAGAAAGAAGAGAAAAAUUUAUGGGAGGAAUAGAGAAUCGAUGGUACAAUGGAAAUAUUUAUUAUCCUUCAUUUCUAUAGGCCUUUCAUGUGUCUUUUUUAUCCCCAUUAUAGGUUUUUAUGUUUUGGCCUGCUGGUAAAAUUCCUGCAUAGGAUUUAAAGGCUCUACAACUUUUCUUCCAAAUUUUCAAAAUUUUGUUUCUAGUCUGAGUGCUGUCCAGUGUGCAGUGACCUUGUCUAUUGUGUGACAGGCUGUCAUACUCCUUUAACUCCAUCACCAAGGUCCACGUCAAAGAAGCUAACAUCCCCCUUUCGGUGCCUUUCAUUGAAAAAGAUUGAAGAUCCUGAAGAUGAAACUGAGUGCCUGCAGCAACCACAGCAUGACCCAUAUCAAGAUCUUGAAAAGGCAUAUGUCGCUCAUGUUUGUUUAACUUGGGAGGCACUUCACUGCCAACAUACUCAACUGAUUCAGAAAAUCUUGUGCCAACCUGAAAGCCCAAUGUGUUACAACCACAGUGCUCAGCAGUUUCAGCAAUUCCAAGUUCUGUUGCAAAGAUUUAUUGAAAACGAGCCCUUUGAGCAAGGUCUCAGAGCAGAAAUUUAUGCUCGUGCAAGGAAUCUGUUACCAAAACUGCUUCAGGUUCCGAAUGGAAAAGGUUCAGAUAGAAAAGAGACAGGUGAAAUGGAAUCUGAUUUACAGGUAGUGGCCCCUGAUCUUAUCAAAAUUAUGGAGAGUUCAAUCCUUACUUUCCAUCUUUUCCUGAAGAUGGACAAGAGAAAGGCAAGCAGUGUUCUGAACUUGUUUGGAAAUCAGAAUCAAAUUGCAACCCCUCUUCAAUUGAUUCAGUCUUCACUCGAGAAGAAAAGGACGAGGUUGAAGGAGCUGUGUAAAAAGAGUAAAGGUUGGAAGAAGAAAUCGUGGCCUCAAAUGUACAAGGAUGUUGAGUUGUUGUUUGGUCUCAUAGAUGUUAAAAUCUUGUCCAGGGUUCUCAGGAUGGUGAAGAUCAGUAAAGAGCAGUUAAUAUGGUGUGAAGAAAAAAUGAAAAAACUGGCCUUAUCAGAUGGGAAGUUGCAAAGAGACCCCUCUCCCAUCCUGUUCCCUUGUUAAUAGCUGUAUGAGGAAGGAUGUAAUCAGGAUUAUGAGAUGGUUAGCUGCAGGAAUAGACUGACCCGUUCUCUUAAACCAUAAAUGUGAGAAAGGGUUCCUGUAGUGUGGCAUCUACUAAUCUGUGUACUCGUGUAGAUGAAUAGAUAGAACAAAUUGCCUGUGGAAAUGGUUCUAUCUGUUUAUCUGCACGAAGGACAUAGAUAUCCUUUUGUCAAGUUUGUUUUUGAGGAAACUAAUCUCGGUUUGGCAUCAAGGGGGAAGGAUGUUUGUAGGGGAUGUAAUCUGAUUUAUCUGUGUUUAUGAACUGAAAUUGUUUUAAACUGCUAGCAGUUUAAGAACUUUUUAUGUCUUCAACCAUAUAGACAUACAUAGUUUUGAGAUUUAAGAAGUGAUAUGUUGGUUAAUA
rnacentral:misc_RNA from 1 species